GGGAGGGGGAGGGGGAGGGGAGGGGAGGGGGAGGCGGCGCCCAGGUCUGGAGGAGGGGCCGCGGCGGGCCGGGCCGGGGAGAGCUGGGGGAGAGGGGCUGCGCGAGAGCCCGGGUGGGCGCGACGCUUCCCCCGCUCCUUUCCUGCUCGCCAUUGCUCCCUUUUGUGAGGCCAUUACGGCCGUCCCCCUGCUCCCUGCCCCGGCGUCCUGGAGCCCAGCCGACCACGAGGGUUUUUCUCCGUGUUGUAUCUUCCCGAAAACCCAGAACCCAAACCCAAGAAAGAACCACUCCUGUUGUCCUCUCUCCCCUCCUCCAGUCCCAAUGACAUUUCCCGGCUUUUGUGUGAGAUGACCCAAAAGCAAGCCCUUCUCCACUCCUCCUCCAUGCAAUGGGGUCCCUAAAAGCUACCCUCACUCCCCUUCUCUCUUACUCACCUGGAGGAAGGGGAAUGGAGAGGAUGGACACCAGAGCCUCCUAUUUCCCAGCAUUUCCACACAGGGAAGACAAGCAUCUCACCGUGCGCACUCCGACAGGAGGGCAGGAGGCGGAAAGGUGGAAUAGCCCAGAAGAGCAGGCUGCUGCCCAGGCCCCUAGGCCACAUCCGAAGGACGUUAAGUCUAGAGCCCCAGGAAGGAAGGCGUCCUGGGUCAGUUUCAUUUCACAUAAACGGACUGUCCCUGGAUCCAGGGAAGCGGAUUCUCCCGUUUCCUCCCUGGUGCCUCAGUCUUUUUGGAGGCGCCCUCUGCUGGCCACUGGGAAGUGCAGGAAAGAACAGAGUCCUGCAGACUCAAAGAGCGUCUACAGAAAGGGACAAGAGGUAGAGACAACCGGGAGCCAACUGAGAGCGGUGGCUGGACUGCCACAAAUAAGAGAGGCAUGCUGAAGCCUUCUUGGAGGCCCCGUUCCAGACCCAGCCAGGGUGAAGAGGACUCCCAGGGGCGGAGAUCGAGGCCCAGGAGAGAACAGAGAGCAUCCUGCUUUAAUUGGAGGUAAUUAGUUAAUUUACUCUGAAAGCAGUGGGGGAGGGGAGGGGUUAGGGCCUGUGGAUUAAUAGGGCUCAAAUACUCAAAUCCUGGUGAGUCUCUUUCCAGACCAGAGCUGAUCUGAGUGAACCCACACACACAGGAGCGGCAGUCUUUGGCCCCAGGCCAGACGAAGGCCUGGAGCAGACUGGGGUGGCCCUGCAGGAAAAAAGCAGGUGCCCUGGAGUGGGCAGAACAGGCCUUUUGAGGUUAGGCAGGUGGGAACUGGCCUGAGAAGGACUGGGGAGGUGCAGGGGGCUCUGGAAUGGGAACUCUCCUCUGACGGAUAAUUUCAUCCCUCUCAAGGUCAGUGCCCCCCUCCCCAAGUUAGGGUCCCCAUUCUGAGUCAGUGGGCUCCCUGGGCAGCUCAUCCUAAGGGAAACAGGGCCGAAGGCUAACUUCAUUCACUGCCUCCUGCUUCAGGAAACCAUUCCAAUCACCGGGAAAGGGGCGUCGGAGGCUAGAGCCCCUGCCGGGCCCCCGGGGGCGUGUCGUCGGCCCGACGCGUCGCCGGCCAGCGGCGUGGCGAGGACUCUGGCCGGCAGCCUCCCGCGCCGUCAGGAGCAGCUGACUCGCUGGCGGCGGGCCAGGUCGUGGCGGGGCCGGGAGGCAGCAACGUGCGGCGCGGCAUGUCGCGGGCUCAGCGGCGGGGAAACGUGGGGGCGGGCCCGGCGCGCCGCCCCCCCACCCCACGCAGGCCCAUUCAUAAAACCCGCGGGCGCUGCCGGGCCUGGCAGCCUGGACUCCUAAUUGCAAACUCAUUAAGGAGUUUGCAUCUCAUUUGCAUGGAAAUCAUUUCCUGGCCCUAAACAGACGAAUGCCCCCUUCCUUCAGCCCCCUUUGCCCCGCUCUACCCAUCCACAGUCUGGGAGGG
rnacentral:lncRNA from 1 species